rnacentral:rRNA from 1 species
GACGAACGCUGGCGGCGUGCUUAACACAUGCAAGUCGAACGGAAAGGCCCUGCUUUUGUGGGGUGCUCGAGUGGCGAACGGGUGAGUAACACGUGAGUAACCUGCCCUUGACUUUGGGAUAACUUCAGGAAACUGGGGCUAAUACCGGAUAGGAGCUCCUGCUGCAUGGUGGGGGUUGGAAAGUUUCGGCGGUGGGGGAUGGACUCGCGGCUUAUCAGCUUGUUGGUGGGGUAGUGGCCUACCAAGGCUUUGACGGGUAGCCGGCCUGAGAGGGUGACCGGCCACAUUGGGACUGAGAUACGGCCCAGACUCAUACGGGAGGCAGCAGUGGGGAAUAUUGCACAAUGGGCGGAAGCCUGAUGCAGCAACGCCGCGUGCGGGAUGACGGCCUUCGGGUUGUAAACCGCUUUCGCCUGUGACGAAGCGUGAGUGACGGUAAUGGGUAAAGAAGCACCGGCUAACUACGUG